CAGUCGCCGCGGGAAUACGUAGGGUGCAAGCGUUAAUCGGAAUUACUGGGCGUAAAGCGUGCGCAGGCGGUUAUAUAAGACAGAUGUGAAAUCCCCGGGCUCAACCUGGGAACUGCAUUUGUGACUGUAUAGCUAGAGUACGGCAGAGGGGGAUGGAAUUCCGCGUGUAGCAGUGAAAUGCGUAGAUAUGCGGAGGAACACCGAUGGCGAAGGCAAUCCCCUGGGCCUGUACUGACGCUCAUACACGAAAGCGUGGGGAGCAAACAGGAUUAGAUACCCCGGUAGUCCCUGUCUCUUAUAC
rnacentral:rRNA from 1 species